GGCGAGGUAGCUCAGUCGGUUAGAGCGUCGGAUUCAUAACCCGGAGGUCACGAGUUCAAAUCUCGUUCUCGCUA
rnacentral:tRNA from 1 species